rnacentral:rRNA from 1 species
UUUCCCAUGCGGUUAACGCAAUAAGACCCCUUGAAGACUACAAGGUUGAUAGGUCGUAGGUGUAAGCAUGGCAACAUGUUUAGCUGAACGAUACUAAUUGGUCGAAGGCUUGUCCUC